GACGAACGCUGGCGGCGUGCUUAACACAUGCAAGUCGAACGGUAAGGCCCUUCGGGGUACACGAGUUGCGAACGGGUGAGUAACACGUGGGUGAUCUGCCCUGCACUUCGGGAUAAGCCUGGGAAACUGGGUCUAAUACCGGAUAGGACCACUGCCUGCAUGGGUGGUGGUGGGAAGCUUUUGCGGUGUGGGAUGGGCCCGCGGCCUAUCAGCUUGUUGGUGGGGUGAUGGCCUACCAAGGCGACGCCGGGUAGCCGGCCUGAGAGGGUGACCGGCCACACUGGGACUGAGAUACGGCCCAGACUCCUACGGGAGGUAGCAGUGGGGAAUAUUGCACAAUGGGCGCAAGCCUGAUGCAGCGACGCCGCGUGAGGGAUGACGGCCUUCGGGUUGUAAACCUCUUUCAGCACCGACGAAGCGCAAGUGACGGUAGGUGCAGAAGAAGGACCGGCCAACUACGUGCCAGCAGCCGCCGUAA
rnacentral:rRNA from 1 species